rnacentral:rRNA from 1 species
CGCUAUCACUCCUACGGGAGGCAGCAGUGGGGAAUAUUGCACAAUGGGGGAAACCCUGAUGCAGCCAUGCCGCGUGUGUGAAGAAGGCCUUCGGGUUGUAAAGCACUUUCAGUAGGGAGGAACGGUAGUGUAGUUAACACCUGCAUUAUUUGAACGUUACCUACAGAAGAAGCACCGGCUAACUCCGUGCCAGCAGCCGCGGUAAUACGGAGGGUGCGAGCGUUAAUCGGAAUUACUGGGCGUAAAGCGCAUGCAGGCGGCCUGUUAAGUCAGAUGUGAAAGCCCGGGGCUUAACCUCGGAAUUGCAUUUGAAACUGGCAGGCUAGAGUCUUGUAGAGGGGGUAGAAUUUCAGGUGUAGCGGUGAAAAUGCGUAGAGAUCUGAAGGAAUACCAGUGGCGAAGGCGGCCCCCUGGACAAAGACUGACGCUCAGAUGCGAAAGCGUCGGGGAGCAAACAGGAUUAGAUACCCUGGUAG